rnacentral:sRNA from 1 species
AAAAUUUAAUUGCUGUGAAAUAAUUUUAAAAACGAAUUUAUUUAUAUGGUAAUAAUCGUGUUUUAUAUAAUUUAUUAUCCCUGGUAAUAAAAUAUUUAUUAUAUUGGAUAUAUUGGUGAGCGGUUAUAUUAUUCCUAUUAUUUGCUAUAGGUGUUAUAUAAUAUUUGGCAUUUAUUAAUUAAAGCACCCUUUUUUAAUUACGUGCGGUUACGUAACCUUUUCCUUAUAUAAUCCUAUUUCUGCCGGUCGGUAAUUUCUUUGGACAAAUGUCGUUAGGAGGGGUGUAACCCCACCUGGCCUUUCUAGUACCGGCCCAACUGUCUGGUCGUAACAUGUAUAUAUAUAUAUAUAUAUUUGUAGCACUAAUAAUAAUUGAAAUGUUAAAAAUAUUAUACAUUUGCUAUUCUUAUUAUUCAAAAUUCGAAUUAAAAUGCAAUAAAUAUAAGGUGAAGCCUAUUAAAUAAAUUAAACUUUAAAUAAUAUCUGGAAUUUUAGCCUGGGUUAGUAAUAUAUCCGGUAAAUCUUAUACAAUUUUUGAAAAUAAAAAUUAUAAAAACGUGUAUUAAAUUGAAUUUUAAUUUAUAAUAUUUCUGGUUAAUAAAUAAAAGAAUAAAAAACUUAUAAUAAUAAUAAAAAAAUAAGAACAAUAUUACAAAUUCUUUUAAUUUUAAUUGCAAAGCUUAUUAUUAUUAUAAACGUUAUUUUCUAUUUAAUUUAUUUAAUUUAUUGAAACGAAUAUAUUUAUCUGGUUGGGUUUAUAUAGUCGAACAAAUCUCGGUCUAAUACCAUUUUAAUCCUAAUAAUUGAAUUAUAUUCGGCCCAAUUUAAAUUUAAUAUAAUUAAAUAUUUUGUUCAAAAUUGGAAUGCACGUUUUUGUAAUUAAUUACAGUGGUUUAAUAGGCGAUAUAUUUCCGGUCCGGCGCGUAAAUACCGGAUCCGACCGUUCGAACCACCGCCGGAAAUAAAAUCAAUUAAAAAUAAAAUGAAAAUAAAUUAACAAAGGGAAAAUGGGAUUCAAAAACGUAAAAAAAUAUAAUUUCAAAAGUUUGCGGCCGUUUGGUUACGUUUUUUAAUCGUUACCAAUACAAUUUUCGUUUUGCAAUUUUUUUUUAAUAUUUCGGGCGAUUUGGUAUUAUCGCGGCGCAAUUUUACCAAUUAUAUCGUGGUCUUAACGUUUGCAAUACGUAAAUUAAUAUUAUAAUUAAAUUUAUUUUGAUAUAAAUUAUUUUAAUAAUUUUGGUUUUAACGUUUGAUUUCGUACCGUUGUUUUGAAUUUUUCCGCCGCAAAUAUUAAAAAAUAUGGCCGAUUUUAUUUAAACCGGUUUUUUUUUUAUAAAAUGGCAAUAAUAAUUUUGGAAAUCCGGCAUUUACCCCCAAAUAGCAAACCAAAUUGAAAAUUUUCAACCGAAAAAAAAGCGCUAAAAGUUGGGAUUUUUUUGGACAAAUAUAAAAAAAUGAAUUAACUUUUUAAUUUUCAAUUAAAUUUAUAUUAAUUUGUUUUAAAAAAAGUAUUUGCAGGCGUUUUGUGUGGAAAUAACGACCCGUUAACGUAAUAAAUGGAAGAAACGCGGAAACCGCCGCGUUACCGUUCGCGAAAAAAUAAUAAAUAUAAAUUACUGUGAAGUUUACGCGAUAAAUUAUAAAUUUAAAAUUUACUUUUAAUUAAAUUAAGGCAAAAUUACCCAAAUUAAUUAUUAAUUUACCAACCCCGGUUUUAAUACGGCGAAACGCGCUGGAUAACGCGUUUCCGAAAAUUAUUAUUAAUUUUGCGUUUUAUUAAUAAUAAAUAAUAAAUAAUAAAAAUUAUAAUAAACCAAUUUGUUAAAACUAUAAGGGGGAUUUGGUUAAAAAUGGCAAAUUAAAAUAUUGGAAUUAUUAUUAUAAAUAUCGCAAAUGCAAAAUAAUAUAAACAGAAUAAAUUUUUUUUUAACCAGGAUCUUUUAUUAAUUAAUUAAUUUUCGUUUUAUAACCGCCGUUUUUAUUAUAAUUUGUUGAAAGAAUACCAAAAUAUAUUACAAACUUUUUUAUCAACGAUUGCGUUUGUUUUGUGAUUAAUUUUCGACAAAUCCAACAAAACUUUCGAAACGGUAUAAUUGGAAUCGCGGUUGCAAAAAUUAAUAUUUUUACAUUAAAUCGCGUAAGAAUUUUAAUUAUUUAUAUAAUUGGAGAAAAUUUAAAACGCGAAUUUUAGGUAUUUUUGCGGAAAAAAUCUCACUUGCGGUUAAUAAUAAUAAUAGUUAAAUUUAAACGGUUUUUUUUUAUUUUUUCAGAUAUUUUAUAUUUUCUUCGGCGGUAUUUUCGUAAAACGUUUUUUUUUUUAAAACUAUAAUACCUUUUUGCGGCGCAAAAAUAUAAAAUACGCCGCAAUUUGUCCCAUAUUCUAACAAUUUCAAAUAAAAAAAUAUCUAUUUAAAAAGAAAAAGAAAAUUUUAUUUAUACCAAAUAUAAUUAAUAAAUAUUAAACCCCACGGGCGCGUUAUAUAUUUAAUAAAUAUACGGUAAUUAUAAAAAUUGCGCGGUAAAAAUAACUAAUGUUCCGCGAACCCAAAUAUACGAAUUUAAUACAUUUUUAUUUUAUUUGUUUAUAUUUUUAAUACGUCGUAUGGAUUUAAUAAUUUUUGAAAAUAUUCGAAUUAUUCUUAAACAAACGUUUUCGUUAAUUCGUUCGCAAAUAUAAAAUUUAUUGGUAAAUAUUCUACCGCAAUUGUUUCGUUUUCCGUUAAUUACCGUAAUUAUAUAUUUUAUAUAUCAAUAUAUUUAAGCUUUGUUAAAAAAGAUUUAUUUUACCCCAUUACCAGCCAAAUUAAUUAUUUAUAAUUACAAAAUAUUUUAAUUGCGUUGAAAAUAUUUAAAGUGAAAUUAUUUAAUAGUUUUUCAAACGCAAAAGUUCUUUUUGCUAUUAAAUCUAAAAUUAGCAAUUUAAAUUCCGUAAAUAAUAUGGAAAUAAUUGUUUAUUUUAAAAAGUUUUGAUAUAUUGGACCAUUUCCGAUUGUAAAUAUAAAAUUUCAUAAAUUGCGUUUAAUUUUAACGCAAUUGGUAAACGAUAUGUUAACCGCGACCAUUAAAAAUGCGUAAAUUUCCCAAAAUCCGGAACAAAUCUUUAAAAAAUACAUCAAAAAAAAGGUAACGUAUAAUAUAAUUUAUCGUAUAUAUA